UACGUAGGGUGCAAGCGUUAUCCGGAAUGAUUGGGCGUAAAGCGUCUGUAGGUGGCUUUUUAAGUCCGCCGUCAAAUCCCAGGGCUCAACCCUGGACAGGCGGUGGAAACUACCAAGCUGGAGUACGGUAGGGGCAGAGGGAAUUUCCGGUGGAGCGGUGAAAUGCGUAGAGAUCCGGAGGAACACCGACGGCGUAGGCAGCGCCCUGGACGACACCUGACGCUGAGGCACGAAAGCUGGGGGAGCGAACAGG
rnacentral:rRNA from 1 species